rnacentral:rRNA from 1 species
GACGAACGCUGGCGGCGUGCCUAAUACAUGCAAGUCGAACGCAGAUGCGAACGGGUGAGUAACGCGUAGGUAACUGCCCCAUAGCGGGGGAUAACUAUUGGAAACGAUAGCUAAUACCGCCUACUGGAAGAUAGACCUGCGGUGUAUUAGCUAGUUGGGGAGGUAAAGGCUAACCAAGGCGACGAUACAUAGCCGACCUGAGAGGGUGACCGGGCAAACUGGGACGGAGAUAAGGCCCAGACUCCUACGGGAGGCAGCAGGAGGGAAUCUUCGGCAAUGGACGGAAGUCUGACCGAGCAACGCCGCGUGAGUGAAGAAGGUUUUCGGAGCGUAAAGCUCUGUUGUUAGAGAAGCGGUAACUACCCAGAAAGGGACGGCUAACUACGUGCCAGCAGCCGCGGUAAUUC